rnacentral:rRNA from 1 species
GACAGAGGUGCCAAGCGUUAGGCGGAAUCACUGGGCUUAAAGCGUGUGUAGGCGGAUCGUUAAGUACCUUGUGAAAUCCCACGGCUCAACCGUGGAACUGCUGGGUAUACUGGCGGUCUUGAGCCACCUAGGGGCAACUGGAACAAGUGGUGGAGCGGUGAAAUGCGUAGAUAUCAGAAGGAACGCCGGUGGCGAAAGCGGCGGGCUGGAUCUCUACUGACGCUGAGGCGCGAAAGCUAGGGGAGCAAACGGG